GUUGGGAUGGGGUGCGAGGUUGUUUUGCUUUGAGAGGGCCUCUUGGAGCCCAGGUUUGCCUGAAUCCUCUGUGUGACUGAGGAUGACUUUAAACUAUUUAUCCUCCUGCACCCCCCACUUCCCAAAUGCAAGGAUUUCAGCUGUGUAUCAUCAUGCUAGGCUUGUUCCGACUUAAUUGGGAGAAUUGGUACUAGACGGAGACCAUUUAAGUAAAUAGCGGUUAAAUACAUAACGCAUCCUAGACCUAUCUGAAUUCACGGAAGGAAAUUUUUUUACUGGUUUGGUUUGUGUUUUGUUUUGUUUUUAGGGGGGGAGAGUCCGAGACAGCGUUUCUCUGCAUAACAGCUCUGGCUGUUCUGGAACUCACUCUGUAGACCAGGCUGUGCUCAGACUUAGAGAUCCGCCUUCUUCUGACUCCAGAGUGCUGGGAUUAAAGGCGUGCACCAUCACACCCAGUCUGUUUUUAAAGGUUAUUCUCUCCAUAUUUAUUUAUUGUGUUUCCCACAAGGAACCCAAUGUGUUAGCCCUGGCCUUUGAUCCCAGCACUCAGAAGACAGAAACAGAUUUUUGGGACACCAAACAGCUUCCCUAGGAUCUCUCCACACCAGCAUAUCACAAGUAGCCUGCCAAUCAGGAUAUAGAACUCUCAGCUACCUCUCCAGCACCAUGUCUGUCUGCUUUCCACUGUGCUUCCUGCCAUCAUGAUAACGGACUAAACCCCUG
rnacentral:lncRNA from 1 species